UUGUUGCAGUUAAAAAGCUCGUAGUCGGAUUUCAGUAUUAGGCCCUUCUUCCAAUACGGUUGCUAGUGGUCUUUACUUCCUUAACAGAAUCUUUCAUCUCAUUAAUUUGGGGUGUUUGGGGCCUGUUUCUUUUACUUUGAGAAAAUUAGAGUGUUCAAAGCGGGUUUUCGCCUGGAUAUUACUCUUGGAAUAAUAAUAUAGGACUUCGGUUCUUUUUUGUUGGUGACUUAGAACCGAAGUAAUGAUUGAUAGGGACAGUUGGGGUCAUUCGUACUAUGAAGCGAGAGGUGAAAUUCAUGGACCUUUGUAUGACGAACUACUGCGAAAGCAUUUGACUAGGAUGUUCCCGUUGAUCAAGAACGAAAGUUGGGGGAUCGAAGACGAUCAGAUACCGUCGUAGUCUAUACCAUAAACUAUGCCAACUAGAGAUUGGAGGUCGUUCUCUUUAUGACUCCUU
rnacentral:rRNA from 1 species